UAUGGCCACAACAUGUUGAAACACCAGUUCCAUUACAAUCACCGAAGUUAAGCAAUGCUGAGCCUGGUCAGUACCUAGAUGGUUAACCACUUGGGAAUACCAGGUACUGUAAG